rnacentral:rRNA from 1 species
GCCGGCGACCAUACCACGUUGAAAGCACCGGUCCUCGUCUGAUCACCGCAGCUUAGCAAUGUUGUGCCCGGUCAGUACUUGCUUGGGUGACCGUCUGGGAAUACCGGGUGUCGCCGGCU